rnacentral:rRNA from 1 species
CAGCAGCCGCGGUAAUACGUAGGGUGCGAGCGUUAAUCGGAAUUACUGGGCGUAAAGCGUGCGCAGGCGGUUAUGUAAGACAGUUGUGAAAUCCCCGGGCUCAACCUGGGAACUGCAUCUGUGACUGCAUAGCUAGAGUACGGUAGAGGGGGAUGGAAUUCCGCGUGUAGCAGUGAAAUGCGUAGAUAUGCAGAGGAACACCGAUGGCGAAGGCAAUCCCCUGGACCUGUACUGACGCUCAUGCACGAAAGCGUGGGGAGCAAACAGGAUUAGAUACCCCUGUAGUCCCUGUCUCUUAUAC